AUUGAACGCUGGCGGCAUGCCUUACACAUGCAAGUCGAACGGUAACAGGUCUUCGGAUGCUGACGAGUGGCGAACGGGUGAGUAAUACAUCGGAACGUGCCCGAUCGUGGGGGAUAACGAGGCGAAAGCUUUGCUAAUACCGCAUACGAUCUACGGAUGAAAGCGGGGGAUCUUCGGACCUCGCGCGGACGGAGCGGCCGAUGGCAGAUUAGGUAGUUGGUGGGCUAAAAGCUUACCAAGCCGACGAUCUGUAGCUGGUCUGAGAGGAUGAUCAGCCACACUGGGACUGAGACACGGCCCAGACUCCUACGGGAGGCAGCAGUGGGGAAUUUUGGACAAUGGGCGAAAGCCUGAUCCAGCCAUGCCGCGUGCAGGAUGAAGGCCUUUGGGUUGUAAACUGCUUUUGUACGGAACGAAAAGCCUCUUUCUAAUAAAGAGGGGUCAUGACGGUACCGUAAGAAUAAGCACCGGCUAACUACGUG
rnacentral:rRNA from 1 species